rnacentral:lncRNA from 1 species
UCCUCCUCCGCCGCCGCCGCCGCCGCCGCCACUUUCUCGCUCGCUCCCGUUCCCCGGACGCGGCGGAUGAGCCGGCCCCGCUGGGGAAGGCUCCGGGCGGCGGCGGGCGGCCGGGAGGAGGCUGCGUGCUCGGGGCUGGGGCUGCGAGCGGGGUGAUUUUGUAUUAAAAUGAGGAGGAGGAAGAAGAGGCACCCACAGCGGCAGCGGCGGCGGCGGCGGCAGCAGCAGCAGGAGCAGCGGCGGAGAGGGCUGCAGCCCGGGCGGACGCGCGGAGCCGAGCGGGGCACGGCGGCGGCAGCGACAGCGGCCGGGAUGAGACAUAGAAAACAUCAGUCUUGAACUUCUCUUCAAGAACCCGGGCUGCAAAGGAAAUCUCCUUUGUUUUUGUUAUUUAUGUGCUGUCAAGUUUUGAAGUGGUGAUCUUUAGACAGUGACUGAGUAUGGAUCAUUUGAACGAGGCAACU